UAUUUGAAAGAUACUUAGCCACCUUUUGUUCCAUAUUCCAGAAGAAACAUGUGUCAGCGAACAUGUGCAUUCACAAAACAGUGGCAACGUUGAGCCACCGCUGUUUCCAGGAGGCUGAAGGUGUGAUGAGACAGUGGAUGGAUGGCCAGUAUCAAAAUCAGACAACAAGAACCGUGACGCAAACACUGUUUGCAGGGCUCAAGGGGGGAGCUGAGGAGGAUGCUUACAACAUUCUCUUCAGCUUCAACCAGGGACAUCGACCAGUAUGAGUUCACCAGGCGAUGCAAGGAGGCAAAGGACGACCUCCAACUGCCAUCUCCUAUCAACCCUGACCCUGAGCAGUUGCCAACCUUGACAGUCAAGGUCGAGAGAUUUGCAGAACUGCUAAGGCUGAAAGGAGCUUUAGAAUUUGCGUAUUGAUCAUCCCAUGCGACCCGACAUACCAACGAACCAGCUAUCUCUCCGAGAGACGUCAACGUGUGGUCAUCCAGGGAGUAGGUUCUGAAUGGAAGUUCCCAUUAGCCGGAGUACCACAAGGUUCCGUCAUAGGACCAACGCUUUUUAUGUAUAUAUAAUACAACCAAAGACGAUCAUCAGUGGAUGAGAACAUUAUAUGCAUUUAUCACACCAUGUUCUGUUUACCAUUAUACACAUCUAUACGAUAUCAAUGCAAUAAAGUAAUUAAUGUAAUAAAGUUACUUGGCUCUGUGAUUCUCUUGUGGUGUGGUUAUUUUCUUUCAUCAGUAAUAAAGACAAGGUAGAAGUAGAGUGUAAACGACUACGGCACUUCCAUGCUAUGACUCAUUAUAAGAUGUAAAUAAAUACUUGUUUAAAUUCAGUUUCAGGUGUAACCAUCUCCAGUAUCUCAAUGAUAAAACUCAGUGUAAGGUGUAAACACCUACUCAACCCCAUAUUAAGUUUCAGCAAACCGGACCGAGAUUUAACCAGGUUACCAUAACUAACUUGAAUACUUGCCAUAAAACAUUCAUAUGAACAUAAAUGAACGCAUUGUGAUUGUUUUUCUUUGUUCUUUUUCCACGGACAGCACUCGAUACACGAGAUGGAAGAUAGUCAUCCAGGCGGGCACAGACGGAUAUUCGCGUAUGUGUACAUUUAUGGGCGCAACUAACAGAAACACGGCUGCUAACAUGAAGCAGGCGUUUCUACGUGGAGUCCGUGAGUUUGGGUGGCCCUCCAGAAUACGUACGGACCAAGGCGGAGAAAACAAUGACAUCAUAAAAUUAAUCACCGAAGUUUGAGGUCCUGAACACAAUCCCCAUUUUGUAGGCUCGUCUGUACAUAAUACUCGAAUCGAGCGCUUCUGGCGGGACGUGAGACAGGAAUGUACCCAGGCAUACAUGGACUUUUUCUGGCAGUAAGAGAGGGAAGGUGUUUUAGAUGCCGACGUAGAUGAUGCGGCACUCCAUUACGUAUUUCUGCCACGGUUGAAUAGAGACAUGGCAAUAUUUAGGGAGUGGCGAAAUAAUCACAAGGUUAGAACAUCAAAAUCAAAAACGCCCAUACAGCUUUUCCUGCAAGGCUUUCUGAAAAUUUUUAGAUCAGACUACACAUCCGUUAGGGAGUAUUUCAAUAACACUGCACCAGCAAACGUAGAGGACUUUAUUGACGAGGAAUUCGACCCUAUGCUACUUGAUUUGCCUGGCGAGAUUUUAUCUGACCUUCACGAUCAAGUUGAUCCACUGUCAGAUAGUAACAGCGGGGGACGUGAUCUGUAUCUUCAGGCACGAGAAAUCAUAAAAAGGAACAACUAGCAAACUACCAAACUUGAACUAGCUUGGAUAACUGACCCCAACCCAAUUUCAAAAAUGUAUAUCGUGAAGAUUUUUUUUUAUGUCGGGCUGGGGUCUCCUAUCCAGGCUAAACUUGAACAGCACAGUGCCUCCCCAUGUCAUAAAUGAAAGCCAGCCAAGACAAAGUCUGCAAAGGAUUAUGAUUGUUUCAACUACUAAGUUAGUUAUAUGUUAUAUAUUGAUUGUGAUAUGUAAUGUGAAUGUCUUUGAUUUACCAAGAAUGACACACUGUAUUGUUUACCCAAGUCGGGCCAAGACUAGUAAAGGAAUCCACUUAAGUGAUUACGUCUGUUUUUGCUGUAGUAAAUCAGUCAACCUCUGUCAUUGUGAUUCGUAACAGGUCAACUGAUAGAACACAUACCCAAGAUAUCCGUGAAUUAUCUUUAUGCAAGUUCCUCUCAUCUUUAAUAGAAGAUGGAGAUUAUUUCUUCCCCACCUCUCUCUACUCAGGACAACAUAAAAAAGAUGAAUCACUUUUACUGUCAUUUGCUCGCUUUGUUUGGAUUUGCUACGUAUUCAGACGACGCACUGGACAAGUUAAAAUAGGUUUGGAGGCUAGUAGCCGGCCAGUUGUGUGCAUUGUCACUGAAGGAAUUCCAGCAUAAGAGCGGGAAGUGUAGAACUGGCCUUACACGGACUCGGCCACCCAGAGGUUAAAUUUCAAAGAAAUUGGUGGGGGCUGCUUUUCAGUCUUUGUCAGAACAGGCACGAAAUGCAUAUGUCUUUAGUCACCUGUCCAAAUGCCACUUUAAUGCGGUUAUGGCUGGUUUAGAUUUCCCACCAGAUAUUAAUGACACACCAGAGGUACAUGUGGACAGCUUUUUAUCAUUGUCCUACUGCUUAAUGCUGUAGGACUGCAGGAUUUGUAGGACUGCAGGAUUUCUACAAUACAGUGAAGAAAUCUAUUUAUCCAAUCACUACAAUGUAAUUCUACUGAUUCUUAAGUUAAAACCCCGUUCAAUUUUUUUCUUAGGAUAACGAAGGGAUGUAAAUGAUCCACCCAAGGCAGUGCUCCAAGCCAUUUGGGCAUAACUCACAUACCAUAUACUAAAAAUAUACAUGUCCAAUAACACCAAAUGCUCUGGUUAAGUUUUGUUCUUUCCACAAGCAACAGUUCAAACAUGUGGCUGUAUUGCUAAACACUGCCUGUGUGACAUUUGUUGCCACCUUGCAACUGUAUAAUGUUGAGGCUCUUUCCCCGACACCUGAUGACAUUGACAAUGUAAAUGCUCUGUUUUCUGUACCGCACAUCCAUAAAUGCACGUCUAUCCAGACCUUCAGGGAUGUUAAGCUCAAGCAAAUUGUUGGAAAGAUAGUGAACAUGUGUACCAAAUUAAUUAUCGAUGUGGCAGCUUUCGGGAAAAUUGAAAGAAAUUUUGAACGGUUAUUAUUUCCCCUUUCAUUCAUCUAAAUUUUUUUUUAACAAGAAAAUUCCGCAUGCCGGUGUUUACAAAAACAACUUUGCAAUUAGCCUUCGGACAUAAUCUUGAAUUAAAGUUAAGAUAAUUUCCAUUCUGUCAUUAAGAUAAACAUGGGGCACCACAUCCUCCAACAAUGCCACAGGAAGCAGAGAGCAUGCCCCAUAUAUACCUGGCAAUAACUAGAUCCUUUCUUUAGCAUACAUUGAUUGAGGUGCAUACUUAAAUGGAGAAAGUAUGGUAGUAAAGUAAGUAGUAAGGGCACUCGUCGGUCUCGCAGGACCAUGAGUAGUACUAAAUUCUACACAAUGGUAUGGUACUUCAUCUGUAAUUCCAGAUGAGUCCCAUUCUGUUUCGGAGAAAGAAAAGAAGGGAUUGUGUGGCGCAGGCAAUUUUGAUUGUCACAUGCAGCCUGUGGUGAGUCUGAAUCUCUCAUUUUUUGGCUCAAAAAGUUGUCAAGAAGAGGGUAUGGGCGUGUUUGCCAAGCAGUUUGAGAAGUACAUGAGCUGCACCCAACCAACAACAGACAACCACAACCCAGGCCCUGACCACAACCCGUUUCCGUAUGGAAGCCUACUAUGAUAUAUCGCUAGUACAACUCCAUUAAUUGAAUGCUAUGGUGAGGUUAUGUUCUUUCUACAGGCAACAGUUCGCACAAUGUUGAGGUUCUUUCCCGAGACUAUUAAGCGAAGACAUACGAUCUAAGAACAUUAAACGCUGGCAUGGUGUUAGCUGCGAGCUAGAAGCCACUCUGAUUCCUCUCCCGGCGGUCGCUUCCUUCGGCCACUGCCUAGUGUGCAGUUACAUUACAGAAAGCAUUUUUUUUCCUAACACCAUAGAUUUUGGAAUAUAGAGCGGUCACUAUUUAUAACAAGUGCAUUUUGACUAUUUACUUACAAUACAUUUUCAAUCAUCAGUACGACAAUGACGAGGAAAAUGAAGCAGAAAAGCGUCAAAGACAGCUCGAGCUACAGUGGGGAGAGGAAAACCGUAUCCUGGGCGCGCUGGAGAUGCUGUUUGACAGCCCAGAUAUUUUCAAUCAUCAGUACGACAAUGACGAGGAAAAUAAAGCAAAAAAGCGUCAAAGACAGCUUGAGCUACAGUGCGGAGAGGAAAACCGAACUCAGGCCACGCUGGAUAUGCUGUUUGACAGCCCAGACAAGCUGAUCCGGGACUUUGCGAGGAAGAAAUGGCAACAGGCCAUGAUUCAAUUCCACCGUACGUUAUUCGUUUUCUCUUCAUUGCAACAAUCCCAGGCUGAGACAUUGAUAUCAGUAUUAGCUUUAAUGAAAAAGUACAUAAAAACAAAGUUUUGACAAGCUGGUAAUGAUAUACAAAAAGUACUCAUGCAUCUUUCACAGAUCUGUUGAUGGUCUAGAUAUAUAGCUGGAUUGUAUUUGUAUUGAUUUAAAGUUGUGUAAGAUUGAACAAUGGCCAAGAUGGUCUAUUGGAGUGUCCACUUUGUAUUAAGUAGAUGGUGAAUUCCAUUACCGGCUGGGUCAUACAAAAGACUCAAAAUACAAUUAAUUGCUAAAAUGUAUAUCGUUAAAAGUAGACAUUUAAAAAUUUCUACAAUAGAUUUUUUUUUAGCCUAUGUACAUUAUUAUUACAAAGUAGAAUACAUCAUUGCUCAAAACUUACAUAAAACUUGUUAAAGUGGGGACCCAUUGGUUAUGCACUGUUAAAUUAAUUUAGUUGGGAAAUGCAAGUUGUCUUUCCUGGUUUAGGUUGCUUUUUUGUACAUCCACUUUGUAUGUUCUUUCUUGUUUUCAAAAAUUAAUAAAGAUUAUUUAAAAAAAAAAACUCAAAAUACAUAUUUAUAUCCACAUACAUGUAUCUGAAAAUUUAACUUAUUCAAUGAAAGUGGAUCUAAUGCAUGGCCUAUGCAGAGGGCCAGAGAUAGAAUAAUGAAAUAAGAAGUCGUGUGUCAAAGUACAUUACCCUGAACAGCCAAAAAAAAACACUAUCUUGGAGAAGUAUGUACGGAACAAGAGACGUAUCUUCUUAGAAGCAACUGCGAUGUAGCAGCUCUGGAGGGAAAUUAGAGCAGCUUUUAGCACAAUGUUAUUUUGAUAUACUAACAGUGUAAUUUAUGUUAAUCUGAAUAUAGAUUACUGAAUAUACAGUACUUUUUUUCUUGCUUUCAGAAAUGAGCGGACAAAGUACUACAAGCAUAUUAAAAAAGGGGCAACCCAGACAAGUACAUAUCAAGUAUCAUUGACGAGAUGGAUCAAAUUGAGUUCUUAGUGAAAUAAGAUUUUAGUUUUGUCUUUAUAGUUUCCAGUAUAUUGGGAAAUGAGAUACUCUUGCAUAUCAAUUUUUCUGACACGAGAUACGGAUAUACAUGCAACAUUACAGGGUUGCUAUCAUGAUCAGUGUAUACUUUGCUAUUCAAUUAUAUCAAGCAUGAAACAAGUCCAUUCUUCUAAUGUUGCCAGGAUGAAAGUCAAGAGCCCAUGAGUACACACAUCACCAGAGCCAUUGACCAUGGGCUGAACAACAUUCAUGCCGCCAUUGAUGUACAAAACUUCCCGCACAACACAUUCAAGCUUUUUCAUUGGGCAUGGAUUGUAUGGCAAAGUGUCCAGGGUUGAGUUCCCAGUUGAUGAAGGUGCACCAAAUCAUUUAAAAAGAAUCAGGAAUGUCAUGUCCAGGAGAUAGACUGUCCUGGCAAUAAAGACAUUAUACACUGGUCCUCGGCGGGCCAAUAUGUUGCUCGUAAGCAAAUGAGCAAGAAAAUGUCUCUAAUACACCAAUUCAUGAAAUCCAGCGGUAUAUUCUAGUAAGCAAUAUGAGGAAAAAAAUAGAUGUUGAUAGAGUAAAUUGAGUGUUUUUGAAAGCCAUUUCUGGUCACACUUAUGAAUUCUGGCUCCUGAGACUUGACUAUCUGGCCACCGUCACAUCUGGUAGUACGGCUGGGGAGAAGGACUCGAGAAAAGAUCGAGUGACCGGAGGGCCCGAGAGCGAAGGGCGGCAUGAGCAAUGGAUGCACUAACCGAAGAGCUACCUAAUGUAGGAUGAUGUAUGUGCUAUGCAAGAUGUGAUUUCUCUCGCCUGGGCCAGUAUGGCCUGAAGCUCCGCCCUGAUGAAUGUCAUUUGUUUUGCACGUCCGUCAAAUAUCUAUGACACAUUGUAAACUUAGUAGUAGUCACAGACACAGACCAAACCGCAGCUCUUCGUGACUGGCCUAUUCUGACCACCUUUUCUCAAAUUAGGCAAACUAUUCCAAUGAAACAGCAUUUAAAAAUGUCUGGAACGAAAAUAUCUUCUGUUUCACUCAAUUUUGGGUUCAACAUCCAACAAACCCAUCUAACUAAGCUGAACCAGCCCCCACUGAGCCAGAGGCACAGUCCCCGAAGUCUGGGUUUCCAAGAGGCUGGACAGCUGUUAGACUAAACCUGACUGACUAACAAACCCUGAGUUAAUUGGAUGUUCUGCCACUAGCCUAGAAAUUAAAUACAUGUCAUCAGUUAUGUGUCACAAUUUGAUUUGCCACCAAUGAUAACGACUUUGUUGUUAAACAUUGUUCGGGGAGGCUCCUGCUAUGAUCAGAUGCUGCACGCUGGCUUCGUUGAACAAUGAUAUUGGCUUUGACGCCUAAAGUAUGACACAUUGGAGCUCUUUGUGGAAUAAGAUAUCAUUCAGGUGGUCUGCUCAACUGACUGCCGUUCGCCUCAUGUCAAGAGCUUCUGUAGAGGAAACAGGCAUAAAGAACAAUAAAUAGUUGAGUAAUGGUACUCAUGAUACUGAUGUCGCCGGUUGGGACCGACCAAAAAAUAUGAUAGAUAUCAAUGAAAUAGGCCGGGCAUUUGUGACAGAGAUAGCACGAGCAUAUUUUGGCCAGCGAAAAAAAAACUUGGAGGUGGUACACCUAGGCACAUGUUUUUUUCCUUAAGAUACAUUUUACAAAAUGUACAUUAUGUACACAACACUACUUCUAGGUUAAGACGUCACCAUACAAAACACAAACAGGAUGUAAAUUUUUAUCAAACAAGUCGUUCGAGAAAACCGCCUACAGUAGUGCAGAGUUCCCGUCCGCCGACAAGUUAACAACAUAAUCCUUCACAGAUGUCACCCCACGGCCGGCCUCACAUAUUUUAGUUGCUUGUCAAGAGUCGCGGAUAAAAUCGGGUGUAUAUCAUCAAAAUAGUACAAUGAACCUUGCCUGGCAUCAAAAACUACUAGUUCGGGUCAAAAUCAUGAGGGUGAGGACAGACUUUUGGUUGCGAGACACAUGCAAGAACCUUCCUUUAACCCCAAAUGGCGUGGAUAAAGCAAGGAGGUUAUCCUAAUACCUCCUUAGAUAAAGUGACCGACGGAUUUAAUCGAUUCCCCUACCAAGAAUUCGUUCACAUAAGACAUAUGAGCUACCACAUUGUUUAAGAAGUUCUUUCCACAUUAUACUGACAAUAGUGAGAGACAAUUUGAAAUGGAAAAGGACCUCUUUUCUGACUCAUCCGAGCACCCACCUCUCGCCACCGCCUUUCUUCUCCAACUGAAGCUGGAUGACAGUACGACGGGAAGUACUGCUCAUAUCCAUCCGCCACGAGAAUGGUUAGCUGUAAAGCUCCAAAUAAUACAUCGAAAACAACUAAUUUGUUUACUUUAAAAAGUAAUUAAUAUACCUAAAUCCGGAAAAUAAUGCCACCUACCUAAUACAAUGUAACAAACACUAAUUCGAUGGAUGCUUUGUCCUUGCGGGGAACUAUUUUCUGGCGGCACUUGAGUACAUCCUGUCUGGGGAGGGUAUUCGGUAGCGUUGGGUAUCAAGGCUGUGGAGGCUCACUUAGGGUUUGUCGGUGUGUCGGGUUCGGAGAAUGACAAAUUGCCAUUGGUCCUUUAGCCUUGGUGGCUCUAUUUGUUGCUCCAUGGCAAGAAGAAAUAUAUUUCGUAUACUCUAUUGAAAGAUUGCGGUAAAAAUAAAUACAAAAAUGAUGAUGAUGAAAUAUUCGGCAUACAAUACAUUCCAAUUUUCCGAUCGUGAAGAUGUUGGUGUUUAUAUGUGUACUAGAGUUCAAAUGUAUCUGAUUCUGAUUUUUUUUUCCAUAUAUCAGAAUUUAAUAUGUAGGAAAUAGGAGAACCAGGAUGUGUCAGAGGAGGCCAUCAGCAUUGUAGCCGAUGCAAGGCACGCGCAGAGGCGAACUCCCAACCCAAGUUUAACAGGGAAUAAGAGUAGCAGAAGAGAACUUGGAGCAAGGACAAGAGGCAGCAGAAGUGUUUUAUGAAGGCAUCCUAGAGGAGUUAGAAAAACAAACUAAAAGGGUACAAGGUGUUGUCAGUAUAUCUUACCCAAUCCACAUACGUACUGUAUGAUCCCGGCCACUAUACUAACAUCUGGUUUGAAUAAAAGUUACUCUGGCAUAGACACCACGUCAAGACGUGCUUCUUAUAGCCCUGUAAAUACAACUGUUGAACACAAGGAACAAGGUAUGGAAAGACAUACACAGCACAGGUUCGCCUAACUUACUAUCACUUGCUCACCUUAGGAGUCUCCAGCAAUAUUAUUCAGGAUGUUGUCAAAGCUGUUCUGGAUACUCUCACACAAAUCAACAUGGACAGUGUUGCAUUACCCGGGCGAACAACGACGCAAUGGGUCAAAAUUGAAGCUGGACAUUUGGCCAACAUAAAAGGCUUCAAAGAGUGGAUGAAAUAAGGAGCGGAAACAAAGAAUUCGAAGUGACAUAUCAGUCAGACCAUACAACACGAGACCAGUCACAUAAUGUGAUCUUGAGACAAGAAGGAGGCCAAAGUGACAGUGUUUUCGUUGGCCCUGGCACCAGUCUGCAACGAGACAGCGGAUAUAAUCGAUAAAAACUGUGUGCAGCAUCUGAUGUCAACAUUUGAGGAGAUGGGCAAGGUGGCGGACACAAUAGGAGUAGAUGGUAGUUUUUAAAAUGUUUCUGCAAUAAAAACACAUGAAGAACAUAUUCGCACAGUCGCACAUACAGACAUUUACAAAAACUCGUAAGUGCUCCCAACGUUGAGUGAUUCCGUGCCAGGCAGGCGGCCUGCCCGUCCUAACCCGGAAGCCUCAGCUUAAAGAUAAAAAUGCAAUAAAGACUGAUGCUAAAAUCAAUGAUAUUUGGAAGGUUGUAAGGUAUAUUCCUGUUGAAAAAAUCCCUAAGGUGACAAUUGCAAAGGCCAUCAGAAAUUCAGAGAUUGUAUCUGUAAAGUUCACAUCAGCCCCACGGCAUGAAAUACGCAAAAACUAGUACAGCAAUAUUAAUGGCUUUAGUGGAACAAUCACUGUAUUAAAGAGGGGCAAGUGGCCUCCAGAUGACAAAAGGAAUACCUGGAAUAGUGACCUGUCAAAACUAUGAUAGUAUAAAUGUGUUCAAAGAUGUGUACAUAUGUAUGUAAACAUUAACUGUGCGUAUGAACCAAGCAUACCGAAGAUCAGCCUAGAAGACCUAAAGACGAACCAGGGCCUCAACGAGCAAAAAAAGGUACAAACGUUCCGUGGACACGUCUGAAAGAGGCAUACCUCCACGAGAACACCAACGCCAGGGCACCUGUGUGCUGGAGCUGUUGGAUGUUGUUAGCUUGCACACCUCUGAGUCCAGGUGUGCCUCCUGUAUAUUUCUAUAGCUUUUUUACUCCCCGUAUCGUCUCGACUUCAUUCAAUUGGAAAGAACCUAACAGAGGUGUUGUACAGGCUGGAACUGGCUGGGCUCACAGUCAAACCAAGUGUUGUGGUACUAGAGGAAGAUGAUAGGACAGAGAGAGGUCUCUACAGCCAGCAAGGUUGCGGCCAUACAAGCCACCCCAAUCCCGAAGACCAAGAAGCAAGUGCGCGCCUUCUUACGAAUUGUGAAUUACAAUCGGGAUAUUGGUUUAAGAAAGGCCAGCCCAAUGUAGUCAACUAGGACGAGGAUUGCGGAAUUGCGGCACUGAGAGAAGUGGCAAAGGACUGUAGCACUGAAAUAUGGUUUUCGUCAAGCUGCAAGCAUACUGGAGGAUUGCAUUCUACCAGAUAUUCUCGGCCGCUGGUACACAAGGAAGAUGACUUUUCCUCCGAGUAUAAUAAAUAGACAAGAAUGGCAUUUUUGGUAGUGUGAGUAACCCACUGACAGAACUGAAGUCGCAUUUAUCAAAGAUGAACACACUCGUUGAGCAUCAACAAAAUGAGAAAUCACCUGAAGACGUACAGUAAGGCCAGUAUUGAUGCAGUCAAAAACACUGCCCAAACAGAACUCAAAUCACUGGUAAGAAAUGAUGCCAUUUUUGCUUACAAUGCUGAUACCGCAACUGACAUUGCAAAGAUGACCCUACUUUCUAUGACAGAAGAGAUCAAACACCAGUACGGGAAAACUGUAUCAAGAAUGAUGUUAUUGGCGACAAGGACACCUCGAUGAGAGCAUUGAGACACAACCGAGCCGAGCUGCGACAGUGAUCGUGAUUUCAAGACCGUGGCGCUGCUGGUUUUGCACAUGGGGGCGCUGAAGCAGACGGGAUCCCACGGGACAUACAAAAUGUCGAAUGGUAGGAACGGCUUUGACGUUAUUUCUGCAGUGCCCGAAUUGCAAGAAGAAAGUGAUUGGUUGGAGCGAGCCCAUUCUUUAGCAGCUGAUAUGGGUGUCACGAGGUGACAUCGUCCUGGUGUGGGGAGUGUCACCCGGGUAAUUGGGAGCAGAUGUACAGGGGUUUGAGAAGGGACACGUAUCAGGGUAGGGGAUUCCAGCUAGAGACGCCGACAGGGUAGGACGUGCCCAGAUUGUCCUGAAUAAAGGUUAUCAUCUCCGCAA